CAGCAGAAUGAAUAUCCAAUUAUGGAUAUACUGUAUCCCGGCAGCCUGCCUCCAGAACUCUGGGUGAACUCAGAUGAGCCUCCAGGACUGCCUGAGCAAGCUGGACUUUGUCAAUUCCAUCUAGAGCCCGAAACUCAAAAUCCAGAGACCCUUGAAGACAUCCAGUCCUCUUCGCUUCAGCAACAAGCCCCAGUGCAGCUUCCACAGCUCUCUGAGGAGGAACCUUCUCUAACCCAUCAGGAGGCCCCAGCUCUGCCUUCACAGUCUCUUCAGGGGGUCUACUCUUCUUCAACAGAGCAGGAGGCCCCAGGACAGCAGCGACCUGCCUCUGAAGAGUUUGUAGCUCCGCCAUUGAUACACCACGAGGUAAAUGUUCCAUUGAAAAGUUGGAGUGAAGCUCAGCACUCAUGCCCGCCCAAUGUCACAGUCAAAUCUGUGGAUAUGGAGCUUGCAGUAACUCUAGAGCCAGAUCUGUCUUCAGUAUUCAGAAGUAAUUCAACUUUGCCUAAUACCACAGUUAAAAAUGUGGAUAUGGAGCUUACCAUACCUGCAGCGUCACUAUGGAAGUUGAACCUUCUCCAGUCCAGCAGGACAACCCUUCUAUUCCCACUGAGCAGGCUGACUUUUCUCUAGCCCAGCCUGAUCUCCCUUCCCCACCUCUGCAUUCUCCUGAAAAGGUUAAAUCUCCAGUCCAGCAGGAGGCCACAGCUCAGACUUCAGAUUCCCCUAAGGAGGUAGAACCUUUUCCAGUCCAGCAAGAGUUUCCAGCUGAGCCACCAGAGCCCCCUAAGGAGGUUGAACCAUCUGCAACCCAGCAGGAAGCCUCAGGUCAUCCUCCAAAGUCCACUGAAGAGGUCAGUCCUCCACUGCAGCAGGAGAUACCAGCUCAGCCAUCAGAGCCACCUGAGAAGGUCGAACCAUCUCCAGUCCUAUAGCAGGCCCCAACUCAGCUUUUAGAGCCCCUUAAAGAGGUAGAAUCCUCUCCAGUCCAGCAGGCAGUCCCUGCUCAGUCUUCAGAACCCCCCUAUGGUGAUAGAACCCUCUCUGACCCAGCAGAUGGCCCCAUCUUUGCCUCCAGAGUUCCCUCAGGAGGUAGAACCAUCUCUAACUCAGCAGGA
rnacentral:lncRNA from 1 species